rnacentral:lncRNA from 1 species
UUAUUUUUGAUAAGCUUUUAAAAAUUAAAAAUACUAAAAUGCACAUGUUGCUAAUAAUUUAUCGGUAGUCACUGAAUUCCUUAUACAUAUUGUGAUUAGUUAUACUAUUUCUUAUACGUUAUAAGUUAUAGGUUUCCUGUUUCCUUACAUUCCGUCGUGAUGGCACAGUCAUGCGUGCAGUGCCAACAAUGAGACCAGCAUCGCGUCCCCAUCACUGGAUCUACUAAUGAGGGGAAGGAAGAAGGAAGAGCGCAUGUUUUGGAUGGACGCUUUCUUGGGAAGCUAAUGAUUUGAAUCCUUCUGUGAAACGAAACAGGAAGCUCGGUCUAUUUGUUAAUUAUAAGUGGCUAUUCUUUUACAGGAAACAAUUUAUUCUUCAGUCUCAUUGCCUUUAUAUGGAAGACGACACCAAAAGAGAAGUCUGGGGAGUUGCUUGGUCCUAUGGCAUGUGAAAAUUAGAAUCAAUUUAUGGACGAGCGAUUGAAUCAACAAUUCAACAUGCUGCAAGUUGGGUAGAGGAAUUGAAACGCAGGUUCGGUUCAGAGGUCUUUUUCUUCAGCGUGUGAUUCAGAUUACAAAUACA